rnacentral:rRNA from 1 species
GGGGGAUAUUGCGCAAUGGGGGCAACCCUGACGCAGCAACGCCGCGUGAAGGAUGAAGGUUUUCGGAUUGUAAACUUCUUUUAUUAAGGACGAAAAUUGACGGUACUUAAUGAAUAAGCUCCGGCUAACUACGUGCCAGCAGCCGCGGUAAAACGUAGGGUGCAAGCGUUGUCCGGAAUUACUGGGUGUAAAGGGAGCGCAGGCGGGAAGACAAGUUGGAAGUGAAAACCAUGGGCUCAACCCAUGAAUUGCUUUCAAAACUGUUUUUCUUGAGUAGUGCAGAGGUAGAUGGAAUUCCCGGUGUAGCGGUGGAAUGCGUAGAUAUCGGGAGGAACACCAGUGGCGAAGGCGGUCUACUGGGCACCAACUGACGCUGAGGCUCGAAAGCAUGGGUAGCAAACAGGAUUAGAUACCCUGGUAGUCCAUGCCGUAAACGAUGAUUACUAGGUGUUGGGGGAUUGACCCCCUCAGUGCCGCAGUUAACACAAUAAGUAAUCCACCUGGGGAGUACGACCGCAAGGUUGAAACUCAAAGGAAUUGACGGGGGCCCGCACAAGCAGUGGAGUAUGUGGUUUAAUUCGAAGCAACGCGAAGAACCUUACCAGGUCUUGACAUCCGAUGCAUAGCACAGAGAUGUGUGAAAUCCUUCGGGACAUCGAGACAGGUGGUGCAUGGUUGUCGUCAGCUCGUGUCGUGAGAUGUUGGGUUAAGUCCCGCAACGAGCGCAACCCUUAUUGCCAGUUACUACGUUAAGAGGACUCUGGCGAGACUGCCGUUGACAAAACGGAGGAAGGUGGGGAUGACGUCAAAUCAUCAUGCCCUUUAUGACCUGGGCUACACACGUACUACAAUGGCGUUAAACAAAGAGAAGCAAGACCGCGAGGUGGAGCAAAACUCAAAAACAACGUCUCAGUUCAGAUUGCAGGCUGCAACUCGCCUGCAUGAAGUCGGAAUUGCUAGUAAUCGCGGAUCAGCAUGCCGCGGUGAAUACGUUCCCG